rnacentral:lncRNA from 10 species
GAUCACAGGUGUGAGCCACCGCGCCCGGCCUUAAGUUUGUUUUCAAAGUGCGUUUCAAACUUAAAUAAACCCAGGCUCAGCAAUGAAAGGAUUCAGGUUAUUACAUUCUGAUUGUCCAGGGAGCAGGCAGUGCGGCUGGCUCCCCGGGAGAAUGCUGGAUCGUUCAUUCAGCGAGUGCGCAUGCCUAGAAGACGAUCUGCCAGCUGCACAGACACGCUGCCACUUGCUGUGCGUUCAUCUCCGUCAGCGCAUAGAGACCGGGAGCCACCUCCUGACUGAGGCACCAGACUCUCUCCGACCUUUCAAGAUGACCUGCUAAAAUACCAUCUUGAGGAUUUUCUACUGAGAUUCCAUAGAACCUUUCUAUUUCAGUUCCCCCAGGCUCUACUGGGAGUAUUAUGAUCAUCCUUGAUGAAAGGAAGGGCAGCAUUUUAAUUCCUUCCUUCCUUCAACAAAACAUGAUUGGGCACCUACUGCAUGCCAGGAACUGUGCUCCACAGUGCCUGUCUCAGGGCAAUCCCUUUCUAGUAGGGGAGCUCAUCAAAUACUAAUACGUAGAAAAAUUAACUGAUUUGUAAACCAAUGCAGGAUAGAAUAGAAUAGUUGAUGUAUUUAUUUAAUUACAGUUAACAAAAUAAUAGUAUUUAUUAAUACAUGGCAACUCUUAUGUAGUACUUAUUACAUGCUGGGUGGUGUCCUCAGCAGUUAAUAUAUUAAUUCAUUUUAUGCUUUCCUAUUUUGCAAAUGAGGGAACUAGGAAACCAAAAGGUUAAGAGCAUAUAUAUAUAUACUUUUUUUUUUAGACGAAGUCUCACUCUGUCACUCAGGCUGGAGUACAGUGGUGUGACCUCAGCUCACUGCAACCUCCGCCUCCAAGGUUCAAGUGAUUCUCCUGCCUCAACCUCCUGAGUAGCUGGGAUUACAGGUGCCUGCCACCAUUCCUGGCUAAUUUUUGUAUUUUUAGUAGAGAUGGGGUUUCACCAUCUUGGCCAGGCUGGUCUUGAACUCCUGACCUCAAGUGAUCUGCCUGCCUCGGCCUCCAGAAGUACUGGGAUUACAGGCAUGAGCCACCAUGCCUGGCCAGGUUAAGUAUAUUUUAAAAGUCCCACAGCUGGUGAAGUGCCCGGUGAAUAUGAAGGUCAGCCAUUCGGAUUUGAGAGUCCCCCUGGUAACCACACAGCACUUCUGUGCAUGCUCUUUACCGAUCUCCCAUAAAAGGUGGACGAGACAAUGCAGAGAACUGACAGAUUCCACAAAGGAACAAAAGGUUUAGUGGUGUUUAUGCCUCAAUUUGAAAGUGGAAUUUCAAAGUCCACUGAAAGUCUUUCUCUGAAGAGUGAAUUGUCUUUAUCCCUUAGCGUCUCUCCUGAAAGCUCUUAUUUGAAUGCAGUAGAAAUAGCAGUGUACCGGCACCAAGCUCCAGCCUCAGGAGACCUCAUGAGAGUCUGUUUAUAUUUUGGAACACUGCUACUGCCAUAGGACAAGCCUGGCCUGGCUAGAUGGAUGGGAGACCACGUGGAGAAGGGCCCAGCUGUCUCAGCUAAAGCCAUCAUAGACCAACAUACAGCCAGCCUACUUCCUAACACAUGAGAGAGCCCUGUCUGGAUUAGCAGAAACACCUACUCAACACAAAGCUGAUUACAGAAGCACGAGUGACCUCAACUUGGAAGAGAAGAACCCCU